AAAAACCAGAAUCACCAGAGCAGCACAAAACCUUGUGACAGCUUUCCACUGCAGGUCGAGUAUUUGUUAGUUUAACUUGAUCAGCUUCCAUUUUGAUGUGCAUAAAACGAUCUGCCGCAGGAUAAGAACCCAGUUCUCAGAAAACAAGCAGCAGACUCCAUAGAUGAAUUUCCAAGUUUUCCUCUUCACCAACCCAGUAAAGAUCCUCUUUCGACCGUCAGUCCAAGAAACAAUGUUGACAUUAUGAAGUAUACUAUCUCAGAAAUGCCACUUUGCUGGGAAAAAGCCAAGGACCCCAGUCAAUGCCCAAAUCACAGAUGAUAGUUUCAAUCGAGUUGAGAAGGACAAGGAAUCCGUGGAAGCUUUUGAAUACAUCAGUUACAUCUUCUUCAUGCAAGGCUGGUCAGCCAGAAAGUUGGAGAGCGACUAAAGAAGAAGACUCGCUGUUGCUUCACCUCAAAGGAAACCCACUUUCUCGGCACACGGCAUGAGUGGCAAGAAAAAGUGGUGCUUAUUUAGAUGUUGGUUCCAUUUUAACCGUAGAAAUGUUCAUACUUAUCCUCGCAGAUUAGCUUUUUCUUGUCAUCUUGGA